rnacentral:piRNA from 1 species
CUGAACAUGGGGGAAAGAGACAGAU